rnacentral:lncRNA from 10 species
UUCAGGUCUUCUCGAGUUCCUGAAGGAUGGAGCCUGGCUCCUUUGGCGUCCUGAAACGCCAGACUUUGUCUCCUCUGACGUGUGAAACUCCUGCUUUCUUCUUGGGCUCUUUUCGCCUUCACCACAACUUGGAAAAUGCCCCCAGGAAAAUUCCGAGGUUCUCAGGGUGGCAGAUGAGGAAGAAGGUGGAGAACAGGAUAGAAAUGAAAUUUUGAGAAGGGAGUCCAGCCUAGAAGUGGUGACUAUCUGUCAAGGCCUGGGCUGAGGAGAGAGGCCUCUGAGCAGUUUAAUGAGGCAUCAUGGGGGAUAAAAACAAACACAUUGCUGAAUAUUUCAAAUGAUCAUUCCAAGGCUG